AGAUCCUCACAAACUAUUACAUGUAAAUGUGAGAGGCACCCAGUUUGGAUUCCAGACCAGAAGAAAUCCAGGAAUGGAUUUAAAAAGGAAAGCUGGUUCCCAUCUCCCUGGAGAAUUUAUCUUUAUUAAAGAUGCAAAGGAUCCAGUGGAGGUCUCUGAGGCCCUGGGAGAUGGUAGAGCCACACCAUGAAGGUGCCUGGGUCCCUGAAUGACUGCAUGGAGCUCACUCUACAUUGGACUGUGACACAAGCAAGAAAGGUAGACACUUAGGAGUGGAAUUGCUGAGUCAUACAGUAAUUCUAUGUUUAACAUUUUGAGGAACUGCCAAACUGUUUCCAAAAUGGCUGCAACAUUCUAUAUUUCCAUCAGCAAGAAGGGCCCAUGUGGCAAGGAACUAAGGGCAGUCUCUGGCCAAAAGCCCACAAGUAACUGAAUUCUGCCAAUAACCAUGAGUUUGGAAGUGGAUUCUUCCCCAUUCGAGUCUCAGAUGAGUCCCCAGCCCUGGCCAACAUCUUGAUGUGCUGUGAGAGACCAUUAAGCAGAGGACCCAGCUAAGCUCUGCCCAGAUGCUCAAUCCACAGAAAAAGAUACUAAGUGUGUGUUGUUUUAAGCUGCUACAUUUGCAGUGGUUUGAUAUGUAGCAAUAGAUAACUGAUACUGCUAUUAAUUGCUUUCUAUUACAAUCAACUGGAAUAACUGCCCUUGUGCAUACAAUCAGGGAUGUAUUUUGGGAUCAAUUCCCAGACCUGAGAUUGUUCAGUCUAAGGGUAAGGAUAUUUAAUGUGGAAAAAUAACACUAAAUUGUCCUCCAAAAAUAUUAUCAAGUGACAAUCAUGCAAACAGUAUGAAAGUUCCUACUUCUCUCCAUGUUCUUGCCAAAUGAAGUGUCAUUGAUCAUUGAAAAAAUAUCAGUUUGAGAAAAAUCAGUACUGCAUUGCUUUGAUUGCAUUUUCCUGAUCACUUAUCAGGGUGAGCAUCUUUUUAACGAAUCCCUUGGCCAUUUAUUUUCCUCUUUCUUCUGAGACUUCUCUCUUGAUAUUUUUAGCUUUUAUCCUAUUUUAAUUGGAUUUCAAUUGGAUUGAACAACUAGAAUGAUAGAAUGAUAUCUGGGGGGCACACAAUGGCCAUUGGUGAUGCUGCUGUUGAUUACCCAAAGUGCUAUCCCAUUUCUUCCUGUGUAUUUACUACUAUUUCUCUUGCAAUUAAUAAGCAAUUUAUAGGAAGAUUCUUUGAGACCAUUCAAAUAUCCUGCACCUAAUUAAAAUAUCCCCCUGGAUUUAGCAGCCUUUGAUGAUUCUUGCCUGAACAAAACUUUAUUAUGGUAGAUGUAAAAUGAAGAUUUUCAUUUCUAGCACUUCUUCCACAUUUACCAGCUACAUUCAGCCUUCUUGUGGAUAAGACUCUCCCCUUUCUCCCAAUUGUUUAUUGUUUUUAUUAGUAUGGACUCAACGAUUUCCUGUUCUUCUCAAUGGCCUAUAAUUUAUUACUAUCUUUAAUUAUAUUAGUGCUCAAAUUUUCCCAGUUUGGCCAGUGGGAUCCCCUCCAAGUUGGCUAUUAUUUCCUUGUGACAUACCACUUUUUCUUUCUUUCUCUUUCUUUUUCUUUCCUUUUAAAACUCACUUCUUUACUUCCUGCUCCAACCCUGGAAUCAGCCAUUUCUCUGAAAAACUGUGGUUCUUUCAAGUGGACAAAGGUAUUAGAUACCAAAAUUUGGGCACAAGAUAUGCACUUUAACAAGGACCCACUUUAAGUGCAGUUUAGUGAAUUUGAAUGAAUGCAUGAACUUCUGUAACUACUACCACAAUCAAGAUAUAGAGUUUCUGUCACCUAUCAAAGCCUCCUUUUCUUGCUUGCUCAUAUGCAAUUACCUCUGUCCAAAAUGACCCUUUUCCUUUCCUCUACACACUCGGCAAAGCCAUGAUUGAGCAUUUAUUCCUUCUUAGAUUUUUGUUCCAUUUUCCUCAGCAAAGGUUCUUGGUUUCCUCUUCUUCAUGCUCACAAAAUAGAGAGUAAAAGUGCUUGCUCAACAGUUCUUCAACUGCUCUAAUAAAGAUUGAUUCUCUUAC